rnacentral:sRNA from 1 species
GCCGGGUGUGGUGGUGCACGCCUAUAAUCCCAACGGCUCAGGAGGCUGAGACAGGAGGAUCACGAGUUCAAAGCCAGCCUCAGCAAUGGCAGAGAACUAAGCAGCUCAGUGAGACUCUGUCUCUA